GGAGACAUCACAGCACAAUAAAAGCUAAAAACUCACCUGAUGUAGUGGUAAGGCCAUGUUCACCACUAGAUGGAGACAACCUGGCACAGGCCUCCUCCUGUUUCACUGCCAUAUAUCCAUCACCAGAGG